UCAGUUCUAUGUGUGCUCUGUUAGCCU
rnacentral:piRNA from 1 species